AGAGAGAGACAUGCGCGCCAUAUCAAUAAGCGGAGGAAAAGAAAACUAACAAGGAUUCCCUUAGUAACGGCGAGUGAAGCGGGAAGAGCUCAAAUUUGAAAUCUUCAAGGUUUUACCUUGACGAAUUGUAGUUUAAAGAAGUGUUUUUCUGCUGAAGUUUUGGUAAAAGUUCUUUGGAAUAGGACAUCAUAGAGGGUGAGAAUCCCGUAUUUGACCAUUAUUCUCAGCUUUGUGAUACACUUUCAAAGAGUCGGAUUGUUUGGGAAUGCAGUCCAAAAUGGGUGGUAAAUUUCAUCUAAAGCUAAAUAUUGGCGAGAGACCGAUAGCGAACAAGUACCGUGAGGGAAAGAUGAAAAGAACUUUGAAAAGAGAGUUAAACAGUACGUGAAAUUGUCAAAAGGGAAGCGUUUGACACCAGUGUUGUUUUCUCGAAAAUCAAUUAAAAAUGGCUCGAUUUUGUAUUGCUGAGACCUUAAAAGCUCACUGUACAUUUUUCGUGUCUUUUUUAAUGCACUUUUCGUUUAACAAGUCAACAUCAGUUUCUUUUGUUGUAAAAGGGUCAUUGGAAGGUGGCUUUCUUUUCGGAGAAAGUGUUUAUAGCCUUUGGCCUCUGCAAUCGGAGAGACUGAGGUCUGCAGCGUAGACUCUUCGGGGUUAGAUACAUUUGUGCUAAGUUAUAGCUUUUUAUAGACAACUUGUUGACUAUAAUUAGUCUUGUAGCUUACUCGCUUAUGCUAUUUUACCUACGCUUAGGAUGUUGAAGAUGUAGCACAUCAU
rnacentral:rRNA from 1 species